rnacentral:rRNA from 1 species
CCUACGGGGGGCUGCAGUGAGGAAUAUUGGUCAAUGGCCGCAGGGCUGAACCAGCCAAGUCGCGUGAGGGAUGACGGUCCUAUGGAUUGUAAACCUCUUUUGUCAGGGAGCAAAGGGCGCCACGUGUGGCGCUUUGCGAGUACCUGAAGAAAAAGCAUCGGCUAACUCCGUGCCAGCAGCCGCGGUAAUACGGAGGAUGCGAGCGUUAUCCGGAUUUAUUGGGUUAAAAGGGUGCGCGGGCGGAAUGUCAAGUCAGCGGAAAAAUUUCGGGGCUCAACCCCGUCGUGCCGUUGAAACUGGCGUUCUGUAGGGCGCGAGAAGUAGGCGUAAGGCGUGUUGUAGCGGGGAA